UUUUGGCUUUUCAUUUUGCUCCUUGAGCCUUAUCCAUGGCGGCAACAACAACAGCAAUAGCCUUAACCCUUUCUUCCUUUACCCUUAGUUCUACCAUUCCUUCCAAAACCUUCUUCUUCUCCAAACCCUCAAAACCAAUUUCUCUCCGCCGCACAUUCCGCCCUCUUUCCCUCACACCACAAGCUAAAUCCUCCGACAUCGACACUUCCUUUUUCGACGAUGUCAACCCCGAAGAAGACAUCGUUUUCGACCCACCAACACCACCAGAAGGUUUC
rnacentral:lncRNA from 1 species